rnacentral:rRNA from 1 species
GUGAGUCUCGUGAGACUUUUUGCAUGUACCUUAUGAAUAAGGACCGGCUAAUUCCGUGCCAGCAGCCGCGGUAAUACGGAAGGUCCGGGCGUUAUCCGGAUUUAUUGGGUUUAAAGGGAGCGUAGGCCGGAGAUUAAGCGUGUUGUGAAAUGUAGACGCUCAACGUCUGCACUGCAGCGCGAACUGGUUUCCUUGAGUACGCACAAAGUGGGCGGAAUUCGUGGUGUAGCGGUGAAAUGCUUAGAUAUCACGAAGAACUCCGAUUGCGAAGGCAGCUCACUGGAGCGCAACUGACGCUGAAGCUCGAAAGUGCGGGUAUCGAACAGGAUUAGAUACCCUGGUAGUCCGCACGGUAAACGAUGGAUGCCCGCUGUUGGUCUGAAUAGGUCAGCGGCCAAGCGAAAGCAUUAAGCAUCCCACCUGGGGAGUACGCCGGCAACGGUGCAACUCAA